rnacentral:rRNA from 1 species
GACGAACGCUGGCGGCGUGCUUAACACAUGCAAGUCGAACGGAAAGGCCCUGCUUUUGUGGGGUGCUCGAGUGGCGAACGGGUGAGUAACACGUGAGUAACCUGCCCUUGACUUUGGGAUAACUUCAGGAAACUGGGGCUCAUACCGGAUAGAAUCUCCUGCUCCAUGGUGGUGGUAGGUAAGUUUCGGCGUUUGGGGAUGUACUCGCUGCUUAUGAGCUUGUUGGUUGGGUAGUGGCUUACCAAGGCUUUGACGGGUAGCCGGCAUGAGAGGGGGACCGGCCACAUGGGGACUGAGAGACGGCCCAGACUCCUACGGGAGGCAGCAGUGGGGAAUAUUGCACAAUGGGCGGAAGCCUGAUGCAGCAACGCCGCGUGCGGGAUGACGGCCUUCGGGGUGUAAACCGCUUUCGCCUGUGCCGAAGCGUGAGUGACGGUAAUGGGUAAAGAAGCACCGGCUAACUACGUG